AGUCGAACGGCAGCGCGGGGCAACCUGGCGGCGAGUGGCGAACGGGUGAGUAAUAUAUCGGAACGUACCCAAGAGUGGGGGAUAACGUAGCGAAAGUUACGCUAAUACCGCAUACGAUCCAUGGAUGAAAGUGGGGGAUCGCAAGACCUCAUGCCCCUGGAGCGGCCGAUAUCUGAUUAGCUAGUUGGUGAGGUAAAGGCUCACCAAGGCGACGAUCAGUAGCUGGUCUGAGAGGACGACCAGCCACACUGGAACUGAGACACGGUCCAGACUCCUACGGGAGGCAGCAGUGGGGAAUUUUGGACAAUGGGCGCAAGCCUGAUCCAGCAAUGCCGCGUGAGUGAAGAAGGCCUUCGGGUUGUAAAGCUCUUUUGUCAGGGAAGAAACGGCUGGGGAUAAUACCUUCGGCUAAUGACGGUACCUGAAGAAUAAGCACCGGCUAACUACGUGCCAGCAGCCGCGGUAAUACGUAGGGUGCAAGCGUUAAUCGGAAUUACUGGGCGUAAAGCGUGCGCAGGCGGUUUUGUAAGUCUGUCGUGAAAGCCCCGGGCUCAACCUGGGAAUUGCGAUGGAGGCUGCAAGGCUUGAAUCUGGCAGAGGGGGGUAGAAUUCCACGUGUAGCAGUGAAAUGCGUAGAGAUGUGGAGGAACACCGAUGGCGAAGGCAGCCCCCUGGGUCAAGAUUGACGCUCAUGCACGAAAGCGUGGGGAGCAAACAGGAUUAGAUACCCUGGUAGUCCACGCCCUAAACGAUGUCUACUAGUUGUCGGGUCUUAAUUGACUUGGUAACGCAGCUAACGCGUGAAGUAGACCGCCUGGGGAGUACGGUCGCAAGAUUAAAACUCAAAGGAAUUGAC
rnacentral:rRNA from 1 species